rnacentral:rRNA from 1 species
GGCGGGGGAUGCGAGCGUUAUCCGGAAUGAUUGGGCGUAAAGGGCGCGUAGGUGGCGGCUUAAGCGUGCGGUGAAAGCUCGGGGCUCAACCCCGAGUCGGCCGUGCGAACUGAGUCGCUUGAGCACUGUAGAGGCAGGCGGAAUUCCGGGUGUAGCGGUGGAAUGCGUAGAGAUCCGGAAGAACACCGGUGGCGAAGGCGGCCUGCUGGGCAGUAGCUGACACUGAGGCGCGACAGCGUGGGGAGCAAACAGG